UACACUCCUGCGGGAGGCAGCAGUGGGGAAUAUUGGACAAUGGGCGCAAGCCUGAUCCAGCCAUGCCGCGUGAGUGAUGAAGGCCCUAGGGUUGUAAAGCUCUUUCACCGGUGAAGAUAAUGACGGUAACCGGAGAAGAAGCCCCGGCUAACUUCGUGCCAGCAGCCGCGGUAAUACGAAGGGGGCUAGCGUUGUUCGGAUUUACUGGGCGUAAAGCGCACGUAGGCGGACUAUUAAGUCGGGGGUGAAAUCCCGGGGCUCAACCCCGGAACUGCCUUUGAUACUGGUAGUCUUGAGUUCGAGAGAGGUGAGUGGAAUUCCGAGUGUAGAGGUGAAAUUCGUAGAUAUUCGGAGGAACACCAGUGGCGAAGGCGGCUCACUGGCUCGAUACUGACGCUGAGGUGCGAAAGCGUGGGGAGCAAACAGGAUUAGAAACCCCUGUAGUCCC
rnacentral:rRNA from 1 species